rnacentral:rRNA from 1 species
UACGGAGGGUGCGAGCGUUGUUCGGAAUCAUUGGGCGUAAAGGGCGCGUAGGCGGCCAGCACAAGUCAGUUGUGAAAUCUCCGAGCUUAACUCGGAAAGGUCAACUGAUACUGUGCGGCUAGAGUGCGGAAGGGGCAACUGGAAUUCUUGGUGUAGCGGUGAAAUGCGUAGAUAUCAAGAGGAACACCUGCGGCGAAGGCGGGUUGCUGGGCCGACACUGACGCUGAUGCGCGAAAGCCAGGGGAGCGAACGGG